rnacentral:rRNA from 1 species
GACGAGGGAUCCUAGCGUUGUUCGGAAUCAUUGGGCGUAAAGCGGGUGUAGGUGGCUUGAUAAGUCAGGUGUGAAAGCCCAGGGCUUAACCCUGGAAGUGCAUUUGAUACUAUUGAGCUUGAGUGUAGGAGAGGUUAUUAGAAUUCUUGGUGUAGUGGUGAAAUACGUAGAUAUCAAGAGGAAUACCGGAGGCGAAGGCGGAUAACUGGCCUAACACUGACACUCAGAACCGAAAGCGUGGGGAUCAAACAGG